rfam:Babesia microti strain RI apicoplast complete genome
ACAAAUAUGGUGGAAUUGUUAUACACAUUAAAUUUAGAAUUUAAUUAAUAAGAGUUAGAAUCUCUUUAUUUGUA